GCCAGACCAAAGCUAAGAGGAUCCAGCAGGAGAGACCAGACUCCCCUGGACCCAGCUGUGUGUCCUUCAAGAGCGACGGAUCUAUAGAGCGAUUUAUUGACUUCAAAGACACACAGCCCUCUGCUGAUGAUGGAGUCCAGCAACAGAGCUCAGAGGUUCCCAGUGG